rnacentral:rRNA from 1 species
GCCUGCCCAGUGACAUGAUUAAACGGCCGCGGUACUCUGACCGUGCGAAGGUAGCAUAAUCACUUGUUCUCUAAAUAAGGACUAGAAUGAACGACAUCACGAGGGCCUUACUGUCUCCUUUUUCCAAUCAGUGAAACUGAUCUCCCCGUGAAGAAGCGGGGAUCUUACUAUAAGACGAGAAGACCCCAUGGAGCUUUAAACCCAACAGGCAAUCCUAACCUCCUUCCCCCCCAAAGUUUUUAAAUAGUGUCUGCUGGUUUUAGGCUGGGGUGGCCGCGGAGUAAAAAUUAUCCUCCAUGACGUAUGGGACUUCCCCCCAAUCCACGAGCUACUGCUCUAAGAAUCAUCAAAUUGACGACAAAUGAUCCAAUCUAUUGAUCAACGAACCAAGUUACCCUGGGGAUAACAGCGCAAUCCAUUUCAAGAGCUCCUAUCGACAAAUGGGUUUACGACCUCGAUGUUGGAUCAGGGUACCCAAGUGGUGCAGCCACUACUAA